UCUUGUCGUUCUAGUUUUUCAAAAGCUAUCGAAGUGAACAGUACAUUUUGUUGGUUGCUCUGCGAAGAUUUAUUAUAUUUGAUUAAGUGGAAUUACACACACACACACACACACACACACAUAUAUAUAUAGAGCAAUUAAAACAAGAGAGAGAAAAUGAUAUGCCAAUCUCAUCGUUUACAUUUUAAGGAUAAUAAUUAUUCCUAUGUAAACAGAGUAUCCGUAAAAGAGACAGAUUAUGUUGACUUCACUUAUCAAUUUGUAAUGACUAUAUUUUUGUACCCAAAAUAAUAUUAUAAGUUUUCAAAAAUUCUCUAAACUUUAAAUAAGAAAACCAGCAAUAUGCCAGAUCCAAUUGUUGUAAAUGUUGACAUCUGGGUAAAAAGUAAUCAAAUAAUUAAUUGUGAGAGAGAUUACUGUUCAUACACGUUAACUCUAAGAUAAUUGAACAACCUGUCAAAGUUACAAAGUAUGAAGAUUUUAAACAGAGAAUUUACGGAGCAUUGCAGUCGUUUACGAAAGUCUACAAUUGCAGACGACGGGAUCGGCGUCCCAAUAAAGGACCAAAAUAUAUUGCUAAAGAAUUAUAUGAAGCCUGUUACCCCAUCAAAAUGUCUCUUUUUUAUUCGAAUGAGCAAGGUUGUACUAACGAAUUCUAUGGAUUUAAGCGACUUUGGGCACACAAAUCUGAUAACCAAUGGGUUCUUUUAUCGGAUUCUUCUUCGAAUAUUUUUGACAUACCACGAGGAACUGUUCCGGUUUUACAGUCGUGCAGUUUUAAAACGAAACUGCUUAAAUUAGAAUUUUGGAAUAACUCUAUAUUAAACUCAGAGAUAAAUGGUGCAGCAAUUAUGCUUAUUGGUAGAGAUCCACAUUUGGAUAUACUCCACCUUCAAGAAAACUUUGACGAAUAUUGUAUCAUUUUUAAAAGAUAUUAUAAUUGUUGCUCAAUAUUCAAUCUUUUCUUAUUCUCUUAAAACUAAAUAUAAAUUUGUUUCAAUGUUAUUCGCAGCGAUGUAAUAAAGAGUUUUUAUAAAAGUGAAUUUUACUGCAAGAAAGUGUCUCAGAUGACCCCUGAAGUGCUAUCUUUUAAUCAGGGACAUAUGCAUCGAUUUUUAAAAAAUUAUUUGAAUAAUGAGAAGUGUGUGAAAGAUAUCAAACCUUCUUUAGAUGAAUCCAAAAAGCUAUCGUCUUGCAAUUUUUCUGAGCUUCCUGUAAAGUAUUUUAAAAAAUAUAUAUUUCUCAUAAUAAAUAAAUUAUUAUUUUGUGUAACAAAAAUUAUAUUUUAUUAUUGCAGGAUAAAAUAAUAGUAAAAAUAAUGAAUAAUUUAGAUAUGAUAUCAUUAAGUUGCAUGAGCAGAGUAAAUAAACGUUUCAAUGAUUUAUCAUGGGAUAGUCAGCUGUACAAAUGUUUGAAUUUCUGGAACAUAUACUUAACGUGUAUGAACAAUAAUCUCUCUCACAAUCAGUUAUUUAGAUUACUUUUUACCCAGAUGUCAACAUUUACGACAAUGGGAUCUGGCAUUUGCUGGUUUUCUUAUUCAAAGUUUAGAGAAUUUUUGAAAACUUGUUGCGAGAAUUUAACACACCUACGAUUCUGCCCUCAAUUACCCUCAGUUUCCAACAAUUCGUAAGUUUCAUCAAGUUUAAUUCUACGUGAUAUUUCAGAGAUAUGUAAAAAUUUGAAAGGUAUAUGUAUAAGUAUGACUGUUAUUAUUACGGAUAAAUUAUAUAUGACUAUAAUACAUAUAUAUUUUAGAAGCCGUUAUUACCCAAUUGGAUUUUGGAAAAUAUAUUAGACACAUUAGUGUUACCAAAAUUAACAUUGGAGGUAGAGGAAUGGAAUCCUUUAAUUGAAAUUGUACCUAUUCACACAUGGAUUCAUCCUUGGCUGCUGUUAUUACAAAAUCGUUUAGAUACUUUGAUUUAUCCAAUAAUACGUAGAAAACUUGAAUCUGCGUUAGGAGGUUGGCAUCCAUCAGAUAAAUCCGCUAAAUUAAUGCUGCAGCCUUGGGUAAAGGUGUUUGCCAAAAGAGACAUGAAAGCGUUUUUAGUCAAAAACAUUAUUCCAAAAUUGCAAAUAGCCUUGUUCGAGUUUGUGAUAAAUCCACAAGAGCACUCAGAUCAGUGGAAGUGGGUGUACGAGUGGGAGGAAUUAAUCCCUGUCAAUAUCAUGGCAGGAUUACUUGAGAAAUUCUUUUUUCCAAAAUAGUUGAGAGUUUUGGCACUUUGGCUCAAUCAUUCGCCUAAUUAUAAUGAAGUCGCAACUUGGUACGUGGAUUGGAAAAGAAUUAGGCUAAGUGACAAAUUACUAGCGGAAACAGUAAUAAAAGAGUACUUUAAAAAAGCGUUGGUCAUGAUAAAUAGGGCACACAAAAUCAAUGGGCCACAAAAUCAUCAACCUGAAACACUAGAACUUUCAUAUUUAACGAGCUUAGAUCCAACAAUAUCGCAAACGGCGCCGAUUGCGCAAUCAAGAAUGGAGAAAUUAGCAGAGGCAGUACGAACAGCCCUGCAAAUUCCGCAGAGUUUCAAAGAUUUCGUACAAAAGCAAUGCGAAAUGAGAGGUAUAUUGUUUAUGCCGAUUCCGAAUAAAUACAAGGAGGCUAAGCAAGUGUACAAAAUUGGUAGUGUUCAGGCAGUAUUUGACAGCAAUAUGAUUUGUGAUGACAGCAGAUGACUUGUUUGUAUAUAAUGGUACAAAUUGGACACCAACGGAUUUAAAUAUCAUGUUGGAUAGGGAACUUUAAUAUGUAUUGUAUUGUAAAUAUAUAUAUAGUGAUUUUUAA